UUGGCAGUCUUUGUUAAGCCUCCCUUCCUCUCAGGAAGCACUGCUGCCCAGAGCGUCUGUGCCACAUCCAGAAGGCAAGCACAAACUUGUGGCAAACUCGGGAAUUCUCUAUUAUAAACAUCUAUUGUAUCCUCUCAAGGGAAGAACUACCUCAUGAAGGUAUGAAAUUAAGAGGAAACCAUGGAGAGCCCACCCCUAAAACCUUUCUAUUGUUUAAACUGCCAACUUCUCUCCAGCAGCACUAACAAACAUAGCAUCACUGCCCUCUGCUGGCCCUUUAUGAUUUCAACAUCUCUGGUGACCUCACUUUACAUUCUCAGUAUGGGGGUA